GAAUAUUGGGCAAUGGACGCAAGUCUGACCCAGCCAUGCCGCGUGAAGGAUGAAGGCGUUCUGCGUUGUAAACUUCUUUUAUUAGGGAAGAAACCUCCGUUUUCUAAUGGAGCCGACGGUACCUAACGAAUAAGCACCGGCUAACUCCGUGCCAGCAGCCGCGGUAAUACGGAUGGUGCAAGCGUUAUCCGGAUUCACUGGGUUUAAAGGGUGUGUAGGCGGAUAUUUAAGUCAGUGGUGAAAUCUCCAGGCUCAACCUGGAAACUGCCAUUGAUACUAUUUAUCUUGAAUUCUGUUGAGGUGGGCGGAAUACAUCAUGUAGCGGUGAAAUGCUUAGAUAUGAUGUAGAACACCGAUUGCGAAGGCAGCUCACUAAGCAGACAUUGACGCUGAGGCACGAAAGCGUGGGGAUCAAACAGG
rnacentral:rRNA from 1 species